CACUGGGCUGAUUUACACCAGCCCGGGAGCUGACCAUUGUAUAUUAAUAUUACGGAGGGAAAAUGGAAAUAGCUUCUGCUGUGUUGUCUCUACCUUAGCAACUGGGGUGUUAAAAAUCCAAAUGCUGCAGUCUAAGGGGCGUUUGGGCUCAGGGCUUACCUGCUAAUUUCAACACAAAUACCCUGCAGUCUGCAGGCCACGUGUGCAGCUGUUAAAAUAGGAUCCGGCUGAAUUAUGCCUGCAAGCAAGUUUUCUCUGUGCCCUUGUGCUAAAUGGGAGAAAAAUCAGUAUUUGCGGAAAGGUGAGCAAAUGGAAUUCUUCUGACUGGUGUUGCCUUUGAAUCAUCUCAACUCCCAGGCAGAGAUGGCCUCAGCUUCAGGCUAAGUGCCACAGACCAAAGAACAAAAAGCUGGACAGAUCAGGCUCCCCUGCUAGCAAAUCAGGCUGCAAGCUUCUCUGCAUCUUCUCUGUUACUGAGCAAUGGCAAACUCGCCCCCUCUCCGCCCCCAUGAGGAGCAGUGCAGUCCAGUGAGGACCAUCACGUGAGAAGAGACUAUCUGGUUUGGCCAAUGUACAUCGCAGAGGGGCAUUGCUGGAAC